GGCCGCGGAUCUGCUUCUCCACAUCCUCCAGUUCCAGCCGCACCAUGUGAAGCUCGAGCGAGUCCUCAUCUGCACUCAAAACCGGAGAGACAGCAGACAUAUUUGUUUUUUUUGUUUGUUUUUUUUAAACAGAACAGCGAUUCCAUCAACUCAUCAAUUACCAACAAGUUUAUUUUAUUGGAAGGAAAUAGUUCGUCAUCACACAAAGAAAUCUACCUUGAAGAAAUUUUAUUUUUAUUCUGAUCAUCAAUUCAUCGUACAGAGGUUGCCAACACGUAUAACACCAGACAAUGUUUUCGGGAAAUACCGACAUUGCCUCUUUACAGUUUUCCAACAACAUUUUGAUAAAAUAAGAUUUUCCGCUAUUACUCGGUCCACAUACGAUACAUGAAAAGGGAAGUUGCAUCCUAGUGUCAAAAGCAGUCACAUUCAUAUUUUCCAUUAUAAAACACAUCAGCAGAAACAAUAUGCAUAUAUAUACAUGAAUAGUCUUAAUAACCAUAAGGGAGAGUUGUAAAAUCAGAUAAUAAAACACGCUUAUCGUACACAACCCUGAACCUUUUUAACUGCGAUUUGUUUCUCAAAUGAAACCCCUUUUUGUCUCUUACGAUUUGGUUAUGCGUGGUUACGAGUUGACUGGUUUGAUCUGGAUUUUUCACUCGCUCGUCCACCAGAUCUGUCAGUGAUUUCAAAUGGACAAUUUCAGAAUUGAUACAAUUUAAAUUAAUGCCUUUAGUUUUCAUAGUUGUUUUUCCUUUUACGGUUUUGUAACGGUAGGUUUUAGGGCCUGUACUUACAAAUUCUAUGAUUUGAUCGCCAUCAUCUAGUUCGCUGGUAAGACCACCCAAGUAAUCGCUUAAGGGUGGCAUGCAGUCACCUUCCUUACUUUUAAAAAUUAUUCUGACGGUGUCUGUGUACAAACAACGCUGAUCUAAUCGAUACAAUAAAUUGUACAGUUCAUGUCUAGCGUACGCUGUAGUGAAAAUGCCGAUGAAUACAUUAGAAUUCAGCGGUUUAAUCAGUCUCUCAUCUGCAUACUGCCACUGCACCAUCGCCACGUUCUCAUUCAAAAAAGAGAACUAACACAUUAUAAAUAUCGGAGAACAUGAACUGUAAAAACACGGUCGCGGAAUAAGAUUGUGUUUGAUUUGUCUGGUCUUUGACACAUCUUACCCCACAACGAAUUUAGCGCGAGUUUAGCCACGGAUCUUUUGGUAGGAUUAACGGUAAUACAGUGCGGAUCCAACGUGAUCCCUUUGUUCUCCUUAUAUUUGUGAAUGUACUCACGUUUAGAGGAUUCAUCAACGGCCCAGAAUGGAUAUCCUGAACUUUCCUGUUUGGUCUUGAGGAACAUUUUAAUAUAUUUCAUAAAAUGCUCAUCAGACCUUUUACGAAAGUGCCACACUUCAAACCCUUUUAGAAUUUUGUAACCUUUUUCGACAGCUUUCUCAAUUUCGACAGGAGCCCAUGUUCCGGUAAGAGCGCUCUCCUGAUCUGUAUGGUCAGAUUGUUUUUGCUGAUAUUCGGUGCAUGUUCUACAUAGAGGAAAGAGAGUUUGCUUUUUACAAGAAAUGGGUGAACAGGUUCCCACAGACCCCUAGGUGGUAAUAGUUUUGCUCUGACGAUACCGAUUUCGGUGGUUUAAAGUCACGAUAAAUGAUGAUAAGGUGAUCAAUCGGGUACGUCUUUGUCUUAUUUACAAAUGGGUAAAGAGAGGUAAAAUCUAAAUAUUCAAUUCUCUCACCAGGCUGAACUACAUAAUGUAAAUGUAACACAUUUGUUUGACCGCCAUAAAGAUCAUCUCGUGGGUUUAAACGCUCAGGAAAGUCAAAGUCUUUUAGAAACAUGCGGUUGUCAUUUUUCUUCAUUUCAUUCCACUCAUGUUCCCACAUCAGUGUGACUUGCAAAUUGUGAGUGUCUGGCAAAUUCUUCAUUUUCUCCAUUGAUUUUUGACAGACAUCUCCAAAGGUAGCUUUGGAUGAGCUAAGAGGAUGCGGAUUCAUUGAGGGAAAAACACUUUUCACACCUGUGAUAAAAACAUCCAAGAAACUCAAAAGCCUUACAUUUUUGUCCAUCUUCACAGUAACCAUCUACGUCAUAGUUAGCAAACUGCUGGCCCAAAUUUAGCCUAUUACCCAAAAACAUUUAAAAUUCAACAUAGAAGCAAAUACUCACAUCUGUAAACCCAGUUGGAGAUAGAAAAAAGACACCAGCCGUGAGUGAGAAGAAGCAAGGGUCCAGAUUUAUUGGUUCCAUUUCACCACACGAGAUCCACACCGAUGAGAAUUCUCAAAAGUGAUCUGACACCUGGAGCUCAAGCUCCAGUAUUUAUAGUGUAUUUACACAGUAGAUAACCCAUAUACUUCAGAAAGACUAUGAUAUCAAUACCAAUAGGGUUAAAAAAGAGCUCAUCUACAUUACCAUUAUGUUUUGAAAGGGGCUUAUCAAAUUUACCAUUAUGUUUUGAAAGAGGACUUUCUGACUACCAUUAGGAUCGAAAGUGGGAGAGAGACAAAACAAUUUAGAGAGACCUUGGUCUCACUUUUAUCUCGCAGGGGCAGCUUGAAUCAGUUACCCUUAUAAAUGGCUCCUCAUGGUUUUCUCUUAAAAUUAAGGCCUUCCUUGCGAGACAAGAAUCUUCACCAUCUGAGUUAUGAGUAAGUUUCUUUUACAUUUUUCUGUGUUUCUGGUUUAUAAUUUACUUUCAUAUUUGCUCUAUAUCUCUAUUUUAUAUAUAGUUAUACUGCUUGCAAAUGGUUUACUGUACUUCCUACUUCAUAAUAGCAUUAUAUUACCCUUCUAAUAUCCUACAUAUCCUGCUACUCUUCAUAUUACCCUUAUAAUAUCUUACUACUCCUUUUUAUUAUUCUUAUAAAGUUAUAAUGUUAUGUGUGUGUGUGUGUGUGUGUGUGUGUGUGUGAGAGAGAGAGAGAGAGAGAGACAGAGACAGAGAGUGUGUGUGUGUUUGCACUCCUCAGCUCAUACUUCUCUGUGAAAACCAUAGUGUGUUACUCUUAAAAGAUCUUAAAGUGUGAAUCCAAUUCGUCAAUAUCCACCUAAUACCGCUUCUGUGUGUCUAGGUGCCCGUCGUCAUUUUUCCUACUCUCCUCACCUGUCAGUCCGCCGUACUCUCAGUGUUCUCCUUAUUUCACCCUUGCUGACUAUCCCAUGUCCCCAGGACGCACCCCAUUUUCUUCCCCCUACCGCUCUCCUCAAGAUUAUGCACCCACCAGUCCUGUGAAUUUUCAAUAAAAUUACAUAUUACUCAUACUAGGUCUCCCUCAUGUUUAUUUCAUGUCAUUUUUAUCCACAACAAAACCUGACUUCACUUUCGUUCAACGCAUGGCGAAUGGGUAGGUUUUGCGUGUUAGAAACGUAUUUGAGCCAUUGUAUGGAAGGUGUUGUGAAAGAUUUCUGUCUGGUGAUGUAAUUAUCAAGCGAUGUAAUAGCUAAAGUGUCUUUACACAGGAACUUGGUUCUAAAGAUUUUCAUGCAUACAGAUGUGAUUGUUAUGCAUUUAAAAGCAUCGACCUUUGUACUUUUCAGAAUUUCAUCUCUGAAAGCUAAACAGCCCUUUCUCAAAAUGGCUACGUCCUUCACACAGUAUUCGGCCAUCUCUUUCUUGAAAUCAAAGACUUUUCAGAAACCGUGCUGUACUAAUUAACGAAUUCUUCUCUAUCCUUAGGCAUCAUGCCAUCUACACUGUAAAACUUAGGGUCAGGAUACGGUCCUACGUAAUCCUGAUGUUCUAUGGUGUUCCAGAAAUGGGGAAAAUAGCCUUUCUUGCAUUCUGAAAACCCCAUGGCUUUCAGGAUGCUGCUCAACUUCAUGGGUAAGAAUGAUAGGCUAUCAAUGUAGGACUGGCAAAACGCUGCAUCAGUGAAACACAAAAUUGUACCGCCUUGCGCUAUGAUUUUGGGCGUGAUUCCUUCUUUCUCUAAAUAGUUUAACAAAAGGUAUGAAUCGAACCCUCUUGCAUUAUGCACGAUAAACGUAUAACCUUGUAUGUGUUACAACGAAACUUCUAAAGAAGGCACUGACGCAAUCAUCCCCUUCAGCCACCCACUCCUCUCCCUUAAAAUCAAUACAGCAUAAGAAAUUAGCCACACGAAUUUAUGGAGAUACUAGAGAUCCAGAUCCUUUCUGCCUCUGGAUGGAGCUCAAAUCUUCUUUAAUUCCAGACUGCUGGGGCUACGGCUGCUCCUAACGCCAUACAGACUUCAUAUGAAUCCAUAAUGAACUUUUUCACACUAUCUGUUGUUACCCAGAUGAGGAUGGGUUCCCUUCUGAGUCAGGUUCCUCUCAAGGUUUCUUCCUCUUAAAACAUCUUGGGGAGUUUUUCCUUGCCACCGUCGCCACUCAGUGGCUUGCUCAGUUGGGAUAAAUUUGCGCCUUUGAUAUCUGUAUACCGUGUUGAUAUUUCUGUAAAGCUGCUUUGAGUCAAUGUCUAUCGUAAAAAGCACUAUACAAAUAAAAUUGAAUUGAAUUGAAAUUAGCUACAUGAGUUCCUGUUUCCUGUCUAGUCUCGAAAUCAUAAAACACAUCAUUCUCAUUGGCGUGUUCUUUCCUAGUCGGCUGUGUAAAGUAUCUAUGCUCAAUAUCCUUAUCGAGUUUUUGGCCACGGAGUAUGUAUUUGGAAUCGGUGCGCAUGUGUUCCUUACGUUUAAAAGUAUAUAGUUUUUUCAUGGGGAGUUUUGCUAGUUUGAAAAAAAGAGUAUCCGGCUUUGCUGGCGAAACAGUGUACGAUUACGAUUUUACAAUUCAAAUGUCUCUUAAAUUUCGAUACAUCAGCAAAGGUGACUGCGGUGUUUACAGAUAAUUCCACAUCAUAUUGUAAUUGUCUAGCAUUUGUUUUUCACGAUUCAAAAGUUGGGUAACACACAAGGCAAAACACAUGUCUCUGUUGUGAAAAAUGUAUAGAUUCUUCAUUUUCUUCUGUAUGGUUUCUGAUUUGAAUAUAUGGCCUAUUUUCCUUCUAAUUGCACCACCCUAAGGUGGUCGGACGAUUUGGAGGACUAUUUCAAGGGUAUUAUCCUUAAAAAUUUCACGUUUACUCUGAACUGCAUUUUCGAGCAUGGUCAGAAAAGAAUGUAAAUCGAUGACACCGUUGACUAAUUGAAUGCAUGAUGAAACAUUUAUCGUAUCACCCCUGAUUUCAACGGUGAUGACAUCCUCAGCAGAAAUUAAAUUGUUAGCGAUUUCAAUCACACUUAAAAGAAUCAAUGUAUAACAUUUUUGACAUGCGUUUUUCUGGAUUUUCUUGUUGUUAUUCUGUCUCUCACUGUUCAGAUAAAUCUACCAUUAAAAUUAUAGAAUGAUCAUUUCUUUGUCAGUGGGCAAACGUACAAAAUCAGCAGGGGAUCAAAUACUUUUUUCCCUCACUGUAAGUGUAUUGAAGAUUAAAUUUUAGAUAUAGUCCCGUACCAAAUUACAUAAUGACCAGAUAAGGAUAAUGAUAUACUCAGAAAGGUUAGGGUUAGGGUUAUAUCAAUAUCAGUUUCAAUUGGAUAAUUACAUAAACAUUCUACUUCAAUUUAUAAUUAGCUAUUUUAAUUGUUUAAAAUACAUCUUCUUACCUGCUGAGAAAUACAUGGUGUCUGGAAGUUUUGAAGGAUAGAGUCUGGAAAUUCUUUCGAACCUUUGCUGAUUUUCCAAACUCUCCGGAGUGUUAGCCUUUUAUAGACAGGGUCGUGUGUGUGUGUGUGUGUGUGUGUGUGUGUGGGUGGGGGUGUGUGGGGGGGUGUGUGGGUGUGGGAAUGCACCAGAAGCAGAUUUAAAGUUUACUACUGAUAAUAAUCAAUUAGCUAUGACCUAAAUAUUUAAACAGAUGUGAGGGAACACAACAGAUUACAACAAACCUAACACAUGUAACAUUAUAUAUCUUUAACUACGCCUGUCAAGAUCUGUGAUUAAUCUAUGGGAAUGAACAUGUAACAUUAUACAUCUUUAAGUACACCUGUUAAGAAAAGGACGGUUGUUGAUAACCUUAUCCUAUACCUGUUAAGAUAAUGAUGGUUGGUGAUGACCUUUGACCUACACCUGUCAAAAUAAGGUUACAAAUCAUACAAACCACUCCUCUCUUUCUCGCUAACUUUUACACAUUUAGCGCUUCACAUUUUAACAGUGGGAAAAAGAGCAGUCUAUUUGAAUUGUGAAUGUGAAAUAAAAUCUCUCAAUGUGUUCAACUUAACUAUCAUUAAAUACUUACAUACUAACAGGUUAAUAAGGGCGCAUGGUGGCUUAGUGGUUAGCAUGUUUGCCUCACACCUCCAGGGUCUGGGGUUCAAUUUCCGCUGGGGCCGUGUGUGCGGAGUUUGCAUGUUCUCCCCGUGCUGUGGGGGGUACCCUCCAGGUACUCCGGUUUCCUCCCCCCAGUCCAAAGACAUGCAUGGUAGGCUGAUUGGCGUGUCUAAAGUGUCUGUAGUGUAUGAAUGGGUGUGUCAUUGUGCCCUGUGUUUCUGUCAAAAACGUCACUUUCAGUUUUAUUAUUUUUUACUAUUCUAAACAGUAAAAAGGGUGAAAAAAUUUUAAUAGAAAAAACAUUAAACAGACCUACAAUGAAGUGUGAAAUCUAAUCCUGCAUAAAUAACACUGAUGGGGAUUAUAACUGGAAAGUGAUUUAAAACACUGUUUGUGUGCUUUUCUCUACUGCACUGCGGUUGUGAGAGUGUGCUGCUUGAGAUUUCAGAUUAAUAGUUUGCUAACCAGUAAUGCUGCAGCAAUAUUUAGCUGAGGACCUGCAGAUUAUAAACUGCUACUCAGUGGACCAGAUUGUCUAAGUUCGAUAAAGAGGUGGGAUGUGUGUCUGCAUUCACAGGAGACAAGAGAAAGGUUAAAAGUAAUUGGCUUUACUGAUAUAAAAGAACAAACAUCAUAUAAUGAUACACUCAUGUGCAUGAAAUGGCUCAAGUUUCCCUUUUUGUUCUGCUCGGGUCACUUUUAAGCUUUACUUACUUUCAGUUAGACUAUUAUAUAAAUUAUGAAAUUGGACUCACCCCUUUGUGCCCCAUAGGUCUGCAUUGGCUGACGUCACCAAACUUUGUACUAGGAGGAGGUCCACAAGAGCAGAGUGUGCCAUUUGGGACAGAGUGGAAAUUGAAUACAGCUGAAAGCUUCACGUCAUAAUUGAUGACAUCAUUGCAGGAAACCAACACAAUGGCGGUUGACAUCACUGGGUUGUGACUGAAGUCAUGAUGGACUGAAAUGGCACAGAGGCCAGAAGUGACUCAAAUAUAGAGGAAGACAUAGAUGGUGGGGAAAAUGGAAGAAACUAAAAUAGCAAGUGGACUUUAGUUGAAAAGUGCAAAAGAAGGAAAGAUUGGCGUCCAGCAUCAGGUAGAGAAAGUGAGAAAGAUGAUAUCCAGUCUAUAAGAAGGAAAGAGUAUUAUAAGGUAUUGGUGAAGUAUAUGUCAGAAGGAGUAAAUAAUGUGAAUCCUUUAAAAUUGACCAAAAAAAUGGAAAGAAACGAUUGGAAACAUUGAAAGUGCUAAGAUGUUGCAAAAUGGUCAAAUUAUCCUAUUCUGUAAAUAUAACAACAACAAAAGGCAGCUUUAAGGGAUAAAGACCUUAUUAGGACAAAAUUAACAUGUAAGGUUAGGGGAGAAAAGAAAUGGAUGAGAGGAGAAAUCACAGGAAUACCUACUAAUGUUUCUGCUGAUUCAAUUAAGAAAAGCUUGUCAGGAGCAAACGUGAUGGAUGCAAACAAACAAAUAUACUUGAAACAAGGAGAAGAUGGGUAGCCUAUCAGUGAUGUUACAUUUUGAUGAGCAAAAAUUGCCAGAUUUUUAGGAGUUAUUAGUUGCACAGUUCGACCAUAUAUCCCACUCCCACUGAGAUGUUUGAAGUGCCAGAAGUAUGGUCAUGUGGCAACAGAAUGUAGAGGAAAACAGAGAUGUGCAAGGUGGGGGGAUGGGGACCAUGAAUAUGGAAAGAGUGAGGAAGGUACCAAGCCAAAAUGCUGCAACUGUGGGGGAGAAUAUAGCAUGGGAUACAGAGGAUGUCCAGUAAGGAAAAAUGCUGCUAAGGUACAAAUUGUUAAGAUAACAGAAGGAUUGACCUAUGCCGAAGCAAUAAAAGGAUUUCAUGUGACAGAAAGAAGUAGAGAAGAUAGAUUCAGUCUCGAGGAUGAGAAACAAAUGUCUGAACCAAGAAGAGGUAAAUUAAAAUAAUAUUAUGGCGGAUAAGUUGGCUUUCAUUACUUUUAUUGCGGAACUGAACUGCUCGGCCUAAAGUGUGUAGAACAGAAAAAAUAAAAAUAAUCAUACGAGCAGAAGAUAAGUAUUUGAAGGUAGAUGGAAUAACAGUUGAUCAGAUAAAUGAAAAACUAAAAAUGCAAGUUACUAAUACCCAGACUGCAUGUGGAGGCUCAUAAUGGUGAGGAUAAUCUUGCACUGGAAUAGAAGAAGCUUAAUAUUAAAUGGGCAAGAAUUUAAAAUAUAUAGAUAAUUUCAAGACUAAACCUCAUAUAAUAUGUGUACAAGAAUUUUGGUUAAAAUCAUAUUUAAACUUUGUGGUUCAAGGAUAUUCGGCAGUGCGCAAAGAUAGGAUUAAAGGAAAUGAAGGGGAGUAGUAACUUUUAUUAAACAAUGAGUAACAUACUGGGAGGUGGGUGUGAAUGAGGAAUUUGAAUUGGUAGUGGUUGAAGUAUGAGCUGGAAAUCAGAGUAUAAUGGUACAUUUUUUUAUAAUCUGUGUAAAAGAUUAAAUAAGGACUUAAUUAAAAACAUUGGAGGAGAAGGAAACUUUACAUUAGUGUGGACUUUAAUGCGCACAGUACAUUGUGGGGAAGUGAAUAUAGUUAUCAAAAUGGGAAUACUGUAAAACAAAUGUUAGAUUGUAAUGAUCUGGUGUGUCUUAAUGAUGGAAGUAAGCUCUGCUUCAGCAACAUGAGUGUUUUGGAAAACACAGAAGCACGUGGCUAUGAGGCGGGGCGGCAGAAACACACAGCUGACAACCAAUGAGGGGAGCGACCUCAUGCCCUCAAUUUCCUUUUCCUAUAUGUACUAAAAUAAAAGCAUUUCCUGUUUUACCUGUA